UUUGAAAUCUGGCGUGCUCAGUGCGUCCGAGUUGUAAUCUAUAGAGGCGUUUUCCGUGCCGGACUGUGUCCAAGUCCCUUGGAACAGGGUAUCAAAGAGGGUGAUAAUCCCGUACUUGACACAAUGACCGGUGCUCUGUGAUACGUCUUCUACGAGUCGAGUUGUUUGGGAAUGCAGCUCAAAAUGGGUGGUGAGUUCCAUCUAAAGCUAAAUAUUGGCGAGAGACCGAUAGCGAACAAGUACCGUGAGGGAAAGAUGAAAAGCACUUUGGAAAGAGAGUUAAACAGUACGUGAAAUUGUUAAAAGGGAAACGAUUGAAGUCAGUCGUGACUGAGAGGCUCAGCCGGUUCUGCCGGUGUAUUCCCCUCAGUCGGGUCAACAUCAGUUUUGUUCGGUGGAUAAGGGCAGCUGGAAGGUAGCACCCUCGGGUGUGUUAUAGCCAGUUGUCGCAUACAUCGGAUGAGACUGAGGAAUGCAGCUCGCCUUUAUGGCCGGGGUUCGCCCACGUCCGAGCUUAGGAUGUUGACAUAAUGGCUUUAAACGACCCGUCUUGAAACACGGACCA
rnacentral:rRNA from 1 species